UACGUAGGGAGCAAGCGUUGUCCGGAUUUAUUGGGCGUAAAGAGCGCGUAGGCGGCUCGGUAAGCCGGAUGUGAAACCUCCAAGCUCAACUUGGAGCGGCCAUUCGGAACUGCCGUGGCUAGAGUCUGGUAGGGGAACACGGAAUUCCUGGUGUAGCGGUGAAAUGCUUAGAUAUCAGGAGGAACACCAGUGGCGAAGGCGGUGUUCUGGGCCAGUACUGACGCUGAGGCGCGAAAGCGUGGGGAGCGAACAGG
rnacentral:rRNA from 1 species